rnacentral:rRNA from 1 species
GACGAACGCUGGCGGCGUGCUUAACACAUGCAAGUCGAACGGUAAGGCCCUUCGGGGUACACGAGUGGCGAACGGGUGAGUAACACGUGGGUGAUCUGCCCUGCACUUCGGGAUAAGCCUGGGAAACUGGGUCUAAUACCGGAUAGGACCACUGCCUGCAUGGGUGGUGGUGGAAAGCUUUUGCGGUGUGGGAUGGGCCCGCGGCCUAUCAGCUUGUUGGUGGGGUGAUGGCCUACCAAGGCGACGACGGGUAGCCGGCCUGAGAGGGUGACCGGCCACACUGGGACUGAGAUACGGCCCAGACUCCUACGGGAGGCAGCAGUGGGAAUAUUGCACAAUGGGCGCAAGCCUGAUGCAGCAACGCCGCGUGGGGGAUGACGGCCUUCGGGUUGUAAACCUCUUUUAGUAGGGAAGAAGCGAAAGUGACGGUACCUGCAGAAAAAGCACCGGCUAACUACGUGCCAGCCGCCGCAGUAA